rnacentral:rRNA from 1 species
ACAGAGGGGGCAAGCGUUAUUCGGAAUUAUUGGGCGUAAAGGGCGCGUAGGCGGCGAUUCAAGUGACGGGUGAAAUCCCUCGGCUUAACCGAGGAACUGCCUGUCAGACUGGAUUGCUUGAGGCCGGGAGAGGCGAGUGGAAUUCCCAGUGUAGCGGUGAAAUGCGUAGAUAUUGGGAGGAACACCAGUGGCGAAGGCGGCUCGCUGGACCGGUUCCGACGCUGAGGCGCGAAAGCGUGGGGAGCAAACAGGA